GAACUUUCUCUUGUCCACAUACCUCACCAGCACUGUGUCCUUAGCCAACUGCAUCAACUCACUGGUUUGUUGCCAGCUCUGGUCAAAGUUUACUGGUAAAGAAGAAUGAAAUCCUUGCUUGAAAUGAGGUUUAGGGUUAUCUGAGGCUUUGUUUCUCCAGGCUGUGUCCCCACAAUUAAUAGUAGUUGUAUAUAUAGUUCUCUGUUUAUUCUGAACAGCCUUUGCUGCAGAUCUCCUGGUCCAUAGGCCUCCCUUUGUACUUAAUUCAGCUGCUUUUUGGUAGGUAACUGCUUACAGAGAGAUAGUCCAAGUGCUAUAGCUUCCUUCAUGGUUACAUGAUGGCUGCUGAAGUUCCAGACAUCACAUCCAGACAUAAUGUUCCUAGAGGUUGAAGAGGGGCCAUCUCCUUCUGCAUGUCUACUUUGAAGAUCAACAAAGCUUUUUCCCUGAAGUGCCCCCAGCAGACUUACACUAGGGUCUCGUCAGCCCAGCUGGCUGGUAUGGAGAUCUGAAUCCUUGACCUUGGUGUUUGGUGUUAUCAGCACUGCACUCUAACCAAGUGAGCUAACCAGCAGCCCAAGACAUCUUGCUUUUAAAAUAGCCACUUUGCUAAAUUCUCUAAGUAUUACUAAAAGAUCUUUAGCUGAUUCUUUUGGAAU